rnacentral:rRNA from 1 species
AACGAACGCUGGCGGCAUGCCUAACACAUGCAAGUCGAACGAGACCUUCGGGUCUAGUGGCGCACGGGUGCGUAACGCGUGGGAACCUGCCCUUAGGUUCGGAAUAACUCCCCGAAAGGGGUGCUAAUACCGGAUAAUGUCUUCGGACCAAAGAUUUAUCGCCUUUGGAUGGGCCCGCGUUGGAUUAGCUAGUUGGUAGUGUAAAAGCCUACCAAGGCGACGAUCCAUAGCUGGUCUGAGAGGAUGAUCAGCCACACUGGGACUGAGACACGGCCCAGACUCCUACGGGAGGCAGCAGUGGGGAAUAUUGUACAAUGGGCGAAAGCCUGAUCCAGCAAUGCCGCGUGAGUGAUGAAGGCCUUAGGGUUGUAAAGCUCUUUUACCCGGGAUGAUAAUGACAGUACCGGGAGAAUAAGCACCGGCUAACUCCGUG